CAGUAGCCACGGUAAUACGUAGGUGGCAAGCGUUGUCCGGAAUUAUUGGGCGUAAGGGCUCGCAGGCGGUUUCUUAAGUCUGAUGUGAAAGCCCCCGGCUCAACCGGGGAGGGUCAUUGGAAACUGGGAAACUUGAGUGCAGAAGAGGAGAGUGGAAUUCCACGUGUAGCGGUGAAAUGCGUAGAGAUGUGGAGGAACACCAGUGGCGAAGGCGACUCUCUGGUCUGUAACUGACGCUGAGGAGCGAAAGCGUGGGGAGCGAACAGGAUUAGAUACCCCGGUAGUCCCUGUCUCUUAUACA
rnacentral:rRNA from 1 species